GCCCAGCUGGCUCAUUUGGUGGAGCAUGUGACUCUUGAUCUCAGGGCCAUAAGUUAGAGCCCUAUGUUGGGUG
rnacentral:tRNA from 1 species